ACAGCAGUCGCCACGGGAAUACAGAGGGUGCAAGCGUUAAUCGGAAUUACUGGGCGUAAAGCGCGCGUAGGUGGUUUGUUAAGUUGGAUGUGAAAGCCCCGGGCUCAACCUGGGAACUGCAUCCAAAACUGGCAAGCUAGAGUACGGUAGAGGGUGGUGGAAUUUCCUGUGUAGCGGUGAAAUGCGUAGAUAUAGGAAGGAACACCAGUGGCGAAGGCGACCACCUGGACUGAUACUGACACUGAGGUGCGAAAGCGUGGGGAGCAAACAGGAUUAGAUACCCCAGUAGUCCCUGUCUCUUAUAC
rnacentral:rRNA from 1 species